rnacentral:misc_RNA from 1 species
GAUGAAGAACGUAGCGAAAUGCGAUAAGUAGUGUGAAUUGCAGAAUUCAGUGAAUCAUCGAAUCUUUGAACGCACAUUGCGCCCCUUGGUAUUCCUUGGGGCAUGCCUGUUCGAGCGUCAUUUGUACCCUCAAGCUCUGCUUGGUGUUGGGUGUUUGUCCACUCCCUGUGUUUGGACUCGCCUUAAAGCAAUUGGCAGCCAGUGUUUUGGUAUUGAAGCGCAGCACAUUUUGCGAUUCUUUCCGGUAAUACUAGCGUCCAGCAAGCUCUUUUCCACUUUUGACCUCGGAUCAGGUAGGGAUACCCGCUGAACUUAAGCAUAUCAAUAAGCGGAGGA